GCCCAGACUCCUACGGGAGGCAGCAGUGGGGGAUAUUGCACAAUGGGGGGAACCCUGAUGCAGCGACGCCGCGUGGGUGAAGGAGUGCUUCGGCAUGUAAAGCCCUCUCGGCAGGGAAGAAGCAAGACGGUACCUGUCGAAUAAGCCACGGCUAACUACGUGCCAGCAGCCGCGGUAAUACGUAGGUAGCAAGCGUUGUCCGGAUUUACUGGGUGUAAAGGGCGUGUAGCCGGGCUGACAAGUCAGAUGUGAAAUCCGGGGGCUCAACCCCCGAACUGCAUUUGAAACUGUUGGUCUUGAGUAUCGGAGAGGCAGGCGGAAUUCCUAGUGUAGCGGUGAAAUGCGUAGAUAUUAGGAGGAACACCAGUGGCGAAGGCGGCCUGCUGGGCUUUUACUGACGCUGAGGCUCGAAAGUGUGGGGAGCAAACAGGAUUAGAUACCCCAGUA
rnacentral:rRNA from 1 species